rnacentral:rRNA from 1 species
GACGAACGCUGGCGGCGUGCCUAAUACAUGCAAGUCGAGCGAAUCACUGGGAGCUUGCUCCCGGUGGUUAGCGGCGGACGGGUGAGUAACACGUGGGCAACCUGCCUGUAAGACUGGGAUAACACCGGGAAACCGGUGCUAAUACCGGAUAAUCCUUUUCCUCUCAUGAGGAAAAGCUGAAAGUCGGUUUCGGCUGACACUUACAGAUGGGCCCGCGGCGCAUUAGCUAGUCGGUGAGGUAACGGCUCACCAAGGCGACGAUGCGUAGCCGGCCUGAGAGGGUGAUCGGCCACACUGGGACUGAGACACGGCCCAGACUCCUACGGGAGGCAGCAGUAGGGAAUCUUCCACAAUGGACGAAAGUCUGAUGGAGCAACGCCGCGUGAGCGAUGAAGGCCUUCGGGUCGUAAAGCUCUGUUGUUAGGGAAGAACAAGUACCGGAGUAACUGCCGGUACCUUGACGGUACCUAACCAGAAAGCCACGGCUAACUACGUGCCAGCAGCCGCCGUAAAAC